AGUUCCCUCUGUCAUAAUCUGGAAUGAUGAUAUCAAUCAAGUGAAGCAGCUAUCACAGGGUCUGGAACAUAUUAGGUUCUGUCAAUAGAAGAUACUAAAGAAAGAAAGCCAGGAGAAGAAAAGGGACUUCUUUCUUCAAGGUCUAAGCUGUUCUAAUAGCAUUAUUCUGGGAAUGGCAUCUUCCACUCCUCCUAGUACAAAGAACCUGCUUCCUCAUACCCCGUCAAGGAACUGCAGCAUCCAGGUGAUGGCCACAGUGGCAGAACCUAGGAAGCCAAGAAGAAACCAGAGAAUGGAGACACAUGGCAGCAAUGGCAAGUCAUCAGACCCAGGAUUUCCCAAAGAACACUGGUCCAGGAAGAUGCUCUGUGAAAAAGUGUUCCCUGGUCGGAGAAAUUUGUGAAACACUUUGCAUAAUACUUAAAAGAAUGUAUGGCACAUCAAAGGUAAUAUGCAAUAAAAGAAUUCAUUUUUUUAAAA
rnacentral:lncRNA from 1 species